UCUAAACCAAACCCCUUCUCCCUCAAAUCCAUUUUUAGUGACUAGUGAAUCUGCAGUUUUGUUCGAUUCAAUCUCCUCUCCGGUAAUGGCGAUGGACUUUGGUAGCACCCGCAUAUAUAACAAGCAGUUUUACGCUUUAGAUUGUUCUUUGAAAGAAGAAGAGUUCGAUCGCACACUCGCCAAUUGAGCCUCACUGGGACAAGCUGGAGCUGAUGAAUGUGCUGUAAUCAAUUAGGGGACCAAACAUUUUGAGAAGAGUUAGCAUCUCCGUUUUGGUCGAGAUGGGUGAUAUCAUAUGAUAUGAAGAAAGGUUUGAGAGCUUCUUCUAGCCGGCUAGGCUUGAUUAACUGCUAGCGAAGGGUUCUUAAUUUUAGUGGUUCAUUGACUAAUGGCUGACUCCGCCAACAUCUAAAUGAUAAAGUAAAGAGAAACAACAUUAUGAUCUUUGAUUUCCGGUGAAUCUUAGUUUCAUGACAUAUGCAGGACAACACUCACAAUGCCCUUCUUGGCUGUAAAAAUGGCAUCUGCUGAAGAUCGAUUUACUUGGCUAGCCGACCAAGUUUGUCAAUUUAAGUACCGGAUGAUAUUAAGCAUUGCUUCUAGAAGAUCGAAUGACAUUUACCAGUACCAUCUGCUGGAAGAGUUUAAGAGCUGCUGCCAGAAUUGAUUGCCUGCUUGCAAAGGGUACUUUUCGUGGUGGAUUCAGUAAUGAGUAAUGACAGACUCCCUCAACGUCUAAUGGUAAAGUCAAGACAUAAACACAGGUAAAUUGUCAGAUUUCUUUUCUCGAAUACAUGAGUUUGGUUUUGGAUGAUUGGAUUCCUCUUUUGUUUGUGUGUAUAGAAACAACUUUAGAAUCUUAGAUUUCGGGUUUAUGAUCGGAUUGACCGAGGCAUGUAUAUGUAUAGUUGCGUAACAUAUUCAGGACACCACUCCACUCACAUCAUGCUUGCUAUGAAGUAAAAAGCAUCUACAUGAUGACUUAAUAUUGAUUUACUUGAAGCAUUUCUUCCCGAAGAUGGUCUGACAUAUAUAAUUAACCUUUGAUGUUGAUUUGGAUUACUUGCUAUAAGAAUUCAAAGAAAGGACAGGGUUAGCUUAGAUAGAGGAACAUAUCAUCAUGGAAGAAAAGUUACAAGAUGUUUAUUUUCUCCUGUCAAACAACUAAACAAGUCAGAAAAUAGUGCGCAGAAAUGACCAAAACAACAAAGGAAGAAAAAACUGGGUCAAAGGUUUGUGUCCUAAUUAACAAGUGAGAUUAUCCCCAGGAGCAACACCAAAUUGAUUACAGUAAUCAGUGUAGUACCCAACUCUGCGUUGGACGGUUGCAGGGUUUCCACCAUCACAUUC